GCUUGGGACUCAAGAAGAGUUGGUGGUGAAUCGGCUGAGCAAAGGGUGAAGGUGAAGAUCAUUAGAUGUUCCAGCACUGGCGGAGACUGUUGGGGUUGUGUAACUGUGCCUGGAGGGCGGGGUUCCUGUACAUUCCUACCUCACUGAAUAACCUGCGCUCAACUCUACUCCAGUUUACUUCCAAACAGACUGGACCCUUCACUUAAGAAAACGAGCACAGCCAUCUCACCUAACAGGGACGCUGUGAGGCAUGGACCGCAAAUCACUGGCAUAAACAUUCCGGGCUCUGACUGUCCCUUACCCACCGAAUCGAUGUUUUGCAGGCAAUACAGGUGCUACCUGGCAAACUGGAUGGGGAGUCCUCAGGAGCUCCUUGAUUGGAAGCACCAAAGAGAAGACUUGGAUGAACCUUUAAUUUUGUGCUUUAAUUCAUAUUAUUGCUCCUGACAAGACAAGUGCUACAUUGAAGCUCUGAACAGAAUUCUUCAUUGGUUAGAACUAUGAAAAUUGAUCAUAUGAUUAUUCACUUCCCAUCAAAGGAUACCUACUCUUUACAUUGGUUUUCUUCAUAUCAACCAGAGUUUAAAACCAAAAGAAACUCCAAUACAAUGGAAAUUAGUUGGAACUGCCCAGAAAGUCCAGACGGGAAAAAAAAAAAAGACAUCUCCAUUCCUGGUGCAUCAGUUAUCUGAGAAAAUUGCUUCAAAUUAUUUUUUCUAGUAUAUCUGAGUUUGUUUUUUCUCUUACUCAUCUUUCAGAGUCAUGAUUCGCUUCAUUAAAUUGUAUAGUCAGAUAUUAUCAUCAUGUGAAUCUAUUGUAUAUCACAAAUUUGUUUUAUUUUUCUCACUGCUUUUAAAGAUAAGGGAAUAAUUAAAAAAAGGAAAAAGA